rnacentral:rRNA from 1 species
UACGUAGGUGGCGAGCGUUGUCCGGAAUUACUGGGUGUAAAGGGAGCGUAGGCGGGAGUGCAAGUUGAAUGUUAAAUCUAUCGGCUCAACCGAUAGCCGCGUUCAAAACUGCAUUUCUUGAGUGAAGUAGAGGUUGGCGGAAUUCCUAGUGUAGCGGUGAAAUGCGUAGAUAUUAGGAGGAACACCAGUGGCGAAGGCGGCCAACUGGGCUUUACUGACGCUGAGGCUCGAAAGCGUGGGGAGCAAACAGGAUUAGAUACCCGGGUAGUCCCUGA